CUGAUUCUUCUUCUCUGCACCCUCCAUUCUCCCUCUCUCCCUUUCUUUCCUCUCUCCCUCCCCCUCCCCCACUCUCCCAAUGUCCCUCCCCCUCCUCUGAAUAACCAAGCUUUUGCCUCUAAAAGUCACCAGAACCAGAUGAGAGAGAGAGAGAGAGAGAGAGAGAGAGAGAGAGAGAGAGAGAGAGAGAGAGAGAGAGAGAGAGAGAGAGAGAGAGAGAGAGAGAGGCGCCUGCGGUGACUGGAAGACAGGAGGGAGCCUGGUCCCUCUAGGAGUGGAAACUUGAUGCUUCUGGGCCAAGAUUUGCCAGGGCCUCGCCUAAGACGCCUAAAGGAACCUGUUUGUGUGCUGUGGCCACGUUCUGCUGUGACUGGAUCUUGUCUUCUGCCUGGAGGCUCGGUUUCGGUCCGGCUGGAUUUGGGGGAACGACACUGCCUGGCGCAGGGACAUCCAACGAGACUUCAAAGAAGCAUAAAAUGAGCAGACUAUUCAAUCAAACAAAGACCGGGGGCAGCAGUACGCCAGCAAGACAGCAUCUUCUCCCCAGCCUAGAAGUCCUGAGAAAUCGAGGAUCUCCCCCUAAAACAUUCACAUACAAGAUAUGUGCAAUCAAGCUGCCAGCACUUGGUAAAAAGCUCAUGAUGCCUAACCCAAUGAUCCGGAGCAGAUCUUUGAAUCAGCUGCCACUUCUAUAGAAUGGGAUUUCCCCCCUCUUCCUUUUUAACCGGCGCUGGAAACUGCCCAUGGCUUUAUACAUCUCAGUAGAGGAAGGCUAAAGAACCUUACGUGAGAAUGAAGCAAUUUACAAUGCAAAUAGAGGCCUGUGAAGGGAUGGACGCUGCUGCUCACGGGAACAGCUUGCUGCAUCUUAGUCGCUGGUUCUUAUUUUCUGAUAUUAAUAGAUGAAUUGUUGGCUAACGCGGCUGGAGAUUACUUGCUGGAAGGGAAAAAAGUUUGGAAUAAACUCUGAAUGCAACAGCUCUUAUUUGGAUGUUUCAGCCGCACACACUCAGACAGAAACCAGGUCAUGUUUGCAUGAAAGGAGGAAUCUUAACCGCGGCGAAUAUCCUGGAGGACUACCCUUCUGUAAAUCCAGAGUGGAUCGGAUCUGGAGUCCAGCCAGAGGAAGACAGCCCUGUGAGGGAAGCGAGUUGUUAUCUUUGGUUAUCUAGCUGUAUGAGUGUAUUGGUCUUCAUAAAGCUAGAUAACCGAAAGUAAAAACUCCUUCAAGAUCACCGAGGAGCGGUCCAGAAUGAAAGACUCCAACCAAGAGACAGUAAAAACGAGAAAGGUCAGGAAUGCUUAUUGAAUCUAACUUUUCUUUUCUUAUGAUUACAAGUGGGAUGCAGGCAAUUCAGUGACCCACAGGCUGAAAUCUAAAGGGCCAGGUUUUGAGAAGGAGAAUUGUGUGGUGUUUUUAUGGGCGAAGAUGCAUGUACUGUUCUAUCUUGUUCUAUUUUGAAGCAAACGUUUACAUAUGAGAAAUGUUUUUCUUAGAAAGCUGUUACAGCGGUGCCUGAGACCUCGUUUAAAAAUGAUUCCAUAAUUAUGUAGAUUUGGGCAGUUCCCUUCUGAGGCCCCUCCCUCAAGUUUGAAGCUUGUGCUUGGAAACUUUCUAUGUACAUUAAAUUCUAUGAGGUCAGACUUUCAGUAAAGCUUAUACUGGAAGGUUAAUAAUUUAUAUCUCCCGAGGACUUAGAGCUAGCAGGGAAAAAUGGAGGAGGGGGCGUCUGAUUUUUUAUUCUUCUAUUCAAAAUACAAGGACAGAUGCUUCUCUGUUCCAAGAGGGUUUCCUUGAGGAAGCUACUGAAGCAGAAAGACAUGAUGGAGACGAGAUCGCCUCCCCUCUUGUCAAAGUGUUAAAAAAAUGUUCUGUCUUACUCUGCGCCUAGCAUUGGAUAGGAAAGUGACACUUAACGCCACAACCCACGUGUGCGCCUCCUCUCUUUUUGUUUAAGGAUGAUCAGGUCUAUCCAGGAAACAGCUCUGGCAUCCCAAACUGAAAUAAUUAGGACGUAUAUAGACCUGACAAAAAUGGAAAGGGGGUGGGGAAUCUGAGGGUCUGUCUUGCCUAAUUGAUUCCGCUAAACGGAAAGCAGGAGAUGUGAACGGCAGGACGCUCCGAUUCCCACGCUCGGGGGCAAGUGGUAAAGCCUGGCCGGCAGCCUAUGACAGACAGCCCUGUUGGGGGGCAGGGGUAUGAAAAAAAACAUCAAGCACACACACCAUACUCAUCUCCACCGCUUAAGAAAGUAAAGGCAUUUCCCACCCACAGCCAUCUGCAGCCUCCCAAACGGCAACACCAACUGGUUGGUAGCUGCUACGUACUGUUUCUGUUAAUUUUUAAACCACUGUUUAAUCUGGCCAUGAUUAAAUUUGGCUUUCUCUUUUGGUGAAAUUUUCAUUAUUUAGGGAAAGCAAGUGAAAAGGGAUGCCAAGAACAUCCCUCAGGGACAUCCUCAGCCUGUGGUUUAGGGCCUUGUGAUCACCUUUGGCUUUUGUUGUGGCUGUUAUAUUUUAAAGUCAUGUCUCAUAACACUCAUUAGGACUGACUUCAUCGGUUGUUUACCUCUUUCUGUGACACUCGGGAACUUGGCCUACUUAUGCAAAUCUACAUUCUGGAAAUAAAGCAACAAACUCACCAGUUUAUACAAAGUUGGUUACAAUCACAAUGUGUUUAAAAACUUGUUUUAGAAUAGUCCUAGCAGGAUGUGUUCUACACAGUUUUUCUCCUCCUUUUCUCCUUCUUCUCCUCCUUCUUCUCCUUCUUCUUCUCCUUCUCCUCCUCCUUCUUCUUCUUUCUUUUCUAUCUGAAAGUAACCAGUCCUAGCAUAAACUUGGAGGUUUUGGAGAUUCCCAUUGUAAUCCUUUCCCGAAAUUCCUUAUAUUUUGUUGCACGUUAUCAGGCAAACAUUGGUAUAGGCAUUUGUACAUAAAUACAACCAUUGCAAUAAAAAAUGUCCAAAAUUGCCUGUUAUCUUCACAUGGCCUAAAUUACUGACUCUCCCAAAUACAUAAUUUUUCUUUACCGCUUCAACUUCUUAUAAGACUGAGACUAGAAAAGCCUGUAAGGCUUCACUUAGAAAAGCUGAGAGACUUUAAUAACUCGAAUUCUCAAUUUGACUGCUGCACACGUGCCCCAGUUUUACCACUGCAGAGACUGUUGAGAAGACCCAUGUUUGUUUACCUUGGAAGCACUGUUUGUGCAAACAAGCUUUCAUUGUAAAGUGCCUGUGUUCCUUUCAUUUGCCCCAUGUCCAGGGGUGCUAUUUACCUAGAACCAUUGUCUACUACAAUUAACAUUUACAUUACAAAGUGUGUGGUUUUCUUUCUCAAGGAGGUUCAAUUAAAGGCAGUAAGAUGUUUGCUGGGGAAACCUAUUGUUUACUCAAAGCACUCAAUGGAGUCAAUUUACUGAAGUUUUUGCCUACAUCUUGGUCGUUUAUGUAAAUCUGUUAACUAUAACAUCUAAGGAAAAUAAACAAUAUUAAAAUUAUGUGUUUGCCAUUGUCAUAUCAAACUUGCUUUGUAUCAUACUAAUGUUACAUAACUUAUCGAUCAAUAAAAAUACAUUUCAAUGUUA